rnacentral:rRNA from 1 species
UACAGAGGUCUCAAGCGUUGUUCGGAUUCAUUGGGCGUAAAGGGUGUGUAGGUGGCGCCGUAAGUCGGGUGUGAAAUUUCGGAGCUUAACUCCGAAACUGCAUUCGAUACUGGCGUGCUUGAGGACUGGAGAGGAGACUGGAAUUCAUGGUGUAGCAGUGAAAUGCGUAGAGAUCAUGAGGAAGACCAGUGGCGAAGGCGGGUCUCUGGACAGUUCCUGACACUGAGACACGAAGGCUAGGGGAGCAAACGGG